rnacentral:rRNA from 1 species
UGCAAGUCGAGCGAAUCAUUAAGGUGCUUGCACCUUAUUGGUUAGCGGCGGACGGGUGAGUAACACGUGGGCAACCUGCCUGUAAGACUGGGAUAACUUCGGGAAACCGGAGCUAAUACCGGAUAAUCCUUUUCCUCUCAUGAGGAAAAGCUGAAAGUCGGUUUCGGCUGACACUUACAGAUGGGCCCGCGGCGCAUUAGCUAGUUGGUGAGGUAACGGCUCACCAAGGCGACGAUGCGUAGCCGACCUGAGAGGGUGAUCGGCCACACUGGGACUGAGACACGGCCCAGACUCCUACGGGAGGCAGCAGUAGGGAAUCUUCCGCAAUGGACGAAAGUCUGACGGAGCAACGCCGCGUGAGCGAUGAAGGCCUUCGGGUCGUAAAGCUCUGUUGUUAGGGAAGAACAAGUAUCGGAGUAACUGCCGGUACCUUGACGGUACCUAACCAGAAAGCCACGGCUAACUACGUGCCAGCAGCCGCGGUAAUACGUAGGUGGCAAGCGUUGUCCGGAAUUAUUGGGCGUAAAGCGCGCGCAGGCGGUCCUUUAAGUCUGAUGUGAAAGCCCACGGCUCAACCGUGGAGGGUCAUUGGAAACUGGGGGACUUGAGUACAGAAGAGGAAAGCGGAAUUCCACGUGUAGCGGUGAAAUGCGUAGAGAUGUGGAGGAACACCAGUGGCGAAGGCGGCUUUCUGGUCUGUAACUGACGCUGAGGCGCGAAAGCGUGGGGAGCAAACGGGAUUAGAUACCCUGGUAGUCCACGCCGUAAACGAUGAGUGCUAAGUGUUAGAGGGUUUCCGCC